UACGUAGGGGGCAAGCGUUGUCCGGAUUUAUUGGGCGUAAAGCGCGUGUAGGCGGCCAGGUAGGUCCGCUGUGAAAACCCGAGGCUCAACCUCGGGACGUCGGCGGAAACCAUCUGGCUAGAGUCCGGAAGAGGAGAGUGGAAUUCCUGGUGUAGCGGUGAAAUGCGCAGAUAUCAGGAAGAACACCAAUGGCGAAAGCAGCUCUCUGGGGCGGUACUGACGCUGAGACGCGAAAGCGUGGGGAGCGAACAGG
rnacentral:rRNA from 1 species